GAUUCUCUGAGUUAACUUACAAGUGUAGGUAAGACCGGUUGCUAUAGUUCGUAGUUGGCUUUAUAUAGGUAGUCCCACUAUCAUAUUUUGCAGCACCAAAUUAGUCUACAAACACCGGAUAGUAAGGAACCUAGCGGAAAAGAACUGGAGAUAACUGCAACUAAUAUUAUUCUCUAAGAUUUCGAUACGGUAAGGGGUCAAUGAACAUAACAUUAUAUAAUAUUUUGCAAAAGGGUUCUUGGUACAACUUCUGAUUCAAUAGUAUCAUAUAAGCUACAGUCAAAUUGUCUAUUUACAAACUACUGAUGAUCUUCAUUAUCACAAUCCACAGAAGUCGCGUCUAGUUCGUGUCGCCAAAGGACAAUGGAGAAAAUCAGCAGAAGGAGUGUGGAGGUUCGAACACGAUUCGACCGUCCUAGGGCAUGAUAUUAUAGUUGGGAGAAACGACCAUGUUGAGGCUGUUAAGGGGAUGGUGAGGGGGUUUUUUUAGGCUCCGUGCAGAAACAUGUCUACUACUAACCUUUCAGCUGCCACAAUGGUUGCUAGAACCAGAUGGAGCUACAUACUCCCCCACAAAACAUUGUGACAAAUGUGGACGUGGAGAUGAUGAUUUCCGUUCACGAAUGGAAUACAUAGCCUAGAUUAUGCGUAAUAUUCGGGGCGGAGGAUGUAGCUACAUACCAGUUCAGAUGCAGAUCACCUUUCACCAUCGGCGCUAGAAAUUUUCUUGCCGAGGGUGUUACGGAGGAGCAACACAUGGCCGUUGUUUUGGAUAUGAUAAGAGGCAAGGAGUUUGUGUGUAGUCAACACGCCAUGGAUGAGAUAUUUGAGGAAGAUGAAAUAGUGCUUCUCUACCAUUUCUCUAUGGAGAUUGAAAAGGCGAAAAACAAUCUUGACCUAAAUCUAGGUCCUACCGUUGAAACCGGUGAUCACAUUGUCCCAACUAUUGGGAAUACAGGGAUUGUUAAUCGCAUAUGAGGAGAUGGCCUUAGGGCGGCUACGGCUAACGUUUAUGGGUUUCACCAAGUCUUAACGGGUGGACGUUUCAGGACCUCUGUUCCAUCACCAACCUAUGAUCUACACUACUACACCCCGCAUUUUGGUGCAAUGGAAGACAGUCCGGAAUAUUUGGAAAGCUUGAUGUCUUCGAGCUAUGUUGUUCAGCUACAAAGAAUAUAUAGAGUCCCGGGGUCGGAAUAUGUGGGUUACGCCCCAACUGAUCUCAACAUAGGGGCCACAAAUGUUCCUCCUAUCCCAAGAAACCAACAACUAAUUGAUGUAUCCUCCAAUGGUUCUUCAACAGAUGUGAAAACCAUCGUCGAAACUUGGGCAGAGGUGAACUUCUCCAAGAUGGAACCCACAUGCUAUGGAAAUUUUGUAUAUGUUGAGAAAGAUAUGAAUUUCGCUUGUUCCAACGGAUAUUAUGUCAACCAGUUAUUGUGGUUAGAAACAGAUACAUACAAAUAACUAAAAUACGUUGU